rnacentral:lncRNA from 1 species
CUGCUUGUGACACGCGACAUGCCCCGAGUCCUUCCCGCCAGCGGACCCCCUCCCCCACUGUAGGACCAGGCACGACGUGUUCCCUAAGCUCGCCACGUCGCCCUCGCAACAGUGGCAACGUACCACCAUGGCAGCCGUCAUUCUUAUCUUCACGGCCACGGGAACCGACCCUCCCCGCUGAUAAAAUGCCCCUUCGAGCUCACCCAACCACUCACACCCUCCCGAGCAACCUCCGUGCCGAAGCUAUUGGGCCCCCGUGCUGAAUUGCACCUCUGUCGGCUGCCACUGCCGAGAGCGCCUCCGGCCAAUUCCGGCCAAGCCAGAGCUCCUAUCUCUUUGCUAUCUCUACACUUAGCUUCAGCUUAACCCCGCAGCAACACUCACGCCCUGAUUGCACUUAGCAAAGCUUGUGACAGGAGCACCCACUUUGCGAGAGCUCUCAUCCGCCAUGGGCGAAGGCUUGCUCGGUCCCGAGCUCUCUGGUGAGCCUAUUCCCGGCCAGAAGGAGCAUCUGUGCCUCCUGAACACUCCGGAGUGCCGAGCCUGAGAAUUGCAGCUCCCUAUGUCACACACUCAUCGCUGGAUCCCUGCCUCUUGCUCUCUCACUGCGCGCGAGAGGUGGAAGAGAAACCCGACAGGUGGGAUCCACCUGUCGUUGUCGUUGAGCCAGCGGAGCCGCCGUUUGCGCUACCCAUGUGAAGCGUGUUUCCGCAGAGAAGACGUAUUACGGCCAAGUGCGUUUUCUAUUUCUGUAAGCGUAUUAUCCCCGAAGCGUUUCCUUUUGUGUUUUAUUUUAAAACAGGAGUUUGACUCAUCUUUGACCAAUUAUAAUUUUUAAACCACAACUCCAAAUGGAUUGAUUCUUUUUCCUACCUCUCUAAAGUUUCCUCUAGUUUAUUUACAGAUUUAUUUCAAAAAUAUUAAAACAAAUUUUAUGUGCUAUUUUGAAUUUGUGUGUUAAUUUAAAUAUUUUCGAAAUAGGAAUUUGGAGAGAGGAGACUUACUUCAAGAUGUUGGGGUACACAUCACACUCCUCAAACUUCAAAGACAAGCAUCUUGAACUCUGGUUUGCAUUAAGUUUGUGAUGUUUGCUGUGAUGCUUUCAAUGCGUGAUUUUGUUUAUGUUGAUAAAGAACCACACAUAAAAUCAUAUCAUGGCAUGGGUGCAUGAGAUAAGGAUGUUAUUGAUUUUAUGUGAUGCACAUGGUAAGUGGGUACUACCCCAUGCCUCGUAUGCCAUGCUGGUCUGGACAAGCUCAAAGGGAGGUUUGUCGUGGAUAUUAUGAGACCAUAGACUGAAAUCUCGCGGGACGAGAGUAGUCAAUGAGAGCAUACCGAGGUGUGUUGGUGGUAAUACUCAUGUUUAUGAUUCAGAAAAAUUGUGCGAUACUAACCCUUGCAGGAAAAACUUAACCUCCUAGGUCUACCGUAGAUCCAGUCUUGUCAGUAUGGCACCUUACCUUUCGUGCUGCCACGGGUCUUUCUGAAAGGGAAUACAGUUUAGUAGGUCAUAAACCUAUUACCAGGUACACACCAAGUAGAGGGGCCAGGAUGAAGGUAUCCAUGGCCCUGGACUAAAUCCAAUCAUCUAGUCAGGGGCAUGGGUGUUUCCGGUGUGGGAACGAGAGGGAAGAGCUCUCCCCUUGUAGUGCGCGAAACAAAUUUGAUCCCAUGCUAGUCGAGGUUGGAGCCUACCCGUCUUACGGUUUUUCCCUGGGAGCGUAGCUCAGGUGAGGAAGGUCUUCGCGGGGGAAAAUGGGUGUGUACAGGUUCUGAGUGUUUACUUCUGAGGUACCGUACGCGGGAUUAGUCUGAGUGACUAUGGAACCCGUGGGCUGUGGGGAAAGAGUACACCCUUUAUAGAGUCAAAACUAUUCGAUUAGCCGUGUCCACGGUCAACGACGACUGGUUGACUAGUGAAGUGUUGGUCUGAGUGUCGGUCUUCCGAGGAAGUUAACGAAAUCGUGAGACUAAUCAUGAAAUAUGGUGGAUGAUCAUAACUAUUAUUUUUACUGUGGACUAACCCAUAUGAUUAUGAUUGUUGAAUAUCUCCGGGACGGUUCUACCUCCUGGAUAUUCAAUAUUUAUUAUUGUUCCAUAUAAUCCCUUUAUGUGGUGUCGCUCACAUGCCCGACUGUGGCAUGUCUGUUAUUUAUUUCAUAUAAGCCCUUUCCAUGGUGUCGCUCACACGCCCGACUGUGGCAUGCUUGUUAUUAUUUCUUAUAAGCCCUUUAUGUGGUGUCACUCAGAUGCUUGACUUUGGCAUGCUUGUUAUUAUUUCUUAUAAGCCCUUUAUGUGGUGUCGCUUAGACGCACGACUGUGGCACUAUUAUUACUCGCAUGUGAGCCCUUUAGGUGGUGUCGCUCCGACGACCGACCGCGACUCGCAUGCUAUUACUUAUUCAUUGUUACUCUUCCUUGCUUUUUAUACAAUAUUGGUGGAAAUGGUUUAUCUAUAUGAAUGCAUCCGUGAAUUAAUUAUUAUGGAAUGAUAGAGUUAUAAGUGAACUAGGCAUGGAUCUCACCUCCUUUAACUUAUCCAUUUUAUCAAGUACAUUCAAAGUACUCACUCGCUUGUUACUGGCUAUUGUCUUGGCCAGAUUGCACUCGGAGAGGAGUACGAUGCCGUCAAAACCGGAAUCUAGGAGUCAAGGAUAGCAGCCUUGUGAGAUAGGAAUUUAUCCAAGUCAGCUGUUCCCAUGGGCACUGGAAAAUUCCUCGAGUUGCUUCCGCCGUCAGCCUUAGACUUUUGUCCAAAGCAGUAGACCUUCAUGGUCUUGUAACCCAGAUUUUGUAUUUUUCUUGGAUUUUCUGUAUCAAGUGAGUGUACACCAGCUAACGGUAGUCCUAGGGCUGGUGAACACAAAAACAUGUUUUCUGGAAAUUAUUUUCUGAAAAACCAGUCGCCACAACCUUGGUAUCAGAGCCAGGGUGACGAUUGGCUAAACCUAUCUUAGCCAGGUUGCUAUUCCUAAACCGGAUAUUUAUAUAUCCGCAACCGAGCCUAGCCUACUCAAUAGACAACCACACGGGCCAUCCAACACCUUUUGGCAGUCGGUGCCUAACGUGUCAGCCCAAACUUUAAGCUGAGUGUCAGUGACUGACACUGGAGUUGUCGCAUCCCCUAGCGUGCGAUGGAAGACUCCCUAGCCUGUAUAGGAAGGCCUUGCCUCAACCCAGCAACCCGCAACCUUGAGAACACUACCCUAGUGACCUCAUUGACUUGCAAGAUACCUGGCCACGUUCUUUGCAACAAGACCACCAUGUCCGAGCCUGGUGACUUCGUAGUCAUCCUCGCUGACCUCAGCCGCAAGGUCUUUGGCAUAGAAGACCCCCCAGUGUAUAUUGUGCAUGAGGAACCUGCGAGUGAUGUUAUCCAUCACUUUUGGGCCUCGAUGCACAUCUAUGCAGGGAAUUCACUGGUAGAGCAGUCGCGAGCGAAGCCUAAGCCCGUCAGCUUGCAGCUCGAGAAGCUAUAGUCUAGCUGUGACAUUUGUCGCCAUGGAUGAAUAGCCGGCCGUUCUGCGAUUAUCCUACUCGUGAAGCCUAUGGUAGUCCGACCCAUGUCGCUAGCAAAGACCUUGAGGCACACCGUGUCUUGGUGCAUGUUGUGCGCUAUUUGAGAGCGCAGGAGGCACUCAUCGAUCAGAUCACCUCUAACCCGGUUAUGAACCGCACGCCAACUGCUCGCCGGACCCCAGCAAGCCAUGAAGUUGCAACCGCCUCUAGCAACCAGCCCAUAUUGGUUGGGAGACCUAUCGGGUCCCUCAGAUCUGCCCCCGCCUUUAUGUUAGCCAGCCCGACCAUGACCCCGGUAGAGCUUCACCACAGUUUGGAUGCUUUCUGCAAUGAAGAUGUGCCUAGGGAACGUCAUCCGAGACGUCGUCAUCACCUCAACCCUGCAGCCCCGUUCCAUGGCCAAGUUGACCCUGGAGCUAUGACAAAUGAAGGAGCCUUUUUGUCUACUGAGCACGUCCACUCAGAGGCCAACGAAGGCAGAGCGAGUCCGUCAGCGUAGCUGUCUGGCCCUAGUAGCAAUGUCGCCGUGUAAUGCUGUAUUCGCGUGUUGUAAUAGACUUGUUUAAAAUAAUAUUGUAGGAUACUUGCACGCCAUUCUUUUCCGGAAAUUGCGUGACCAGUGUAGCCUACUCUGCUUGGCCUUAGAAUAAUUUUUUGGGCGUGACCACCAGAACCACCUGGCCCACUAACCAUGUGAUGUGUCACUUGGGAGUUGAUACCCGAGUUCCACCCUGAUGACCCACGUCACACCAGUAUCAUACUGUGUGCCUAGAAAUCAUACACCCAAUUGAGACCACUCAUGGCUUCUCCUAGCACUUAUCACUGAGUGCACUGCCGCACAACCAACUUUUCCCUUGACUGACCGUUGGGAUUCACCCGGGAUUCCUGAAUGCAACCCCGCAUUAGAAACCGUGUUGCCUCGUAGUCCAGUAUAGAGCAACCCGUGGAUGACCACCUUUGUCCUAUAUGUCAUCACCAAGAGUGUUGAUCCAACAGUCAAUGUAUUGAUUUCCACACCCUUGGUGUUGGGAAAUUUGCCAUAUUUUCCCUUGGUAGGCCGUUGUUGCCAGACUAAAGGGGACAUGUUGUCCGGACUCCUUCUACGAGAAGUAGAAUGUGUAUUCCCCGACCGAGAAUAUCUUCUCAGAACAACCUUGCUCGUGCCUCGUUGACCGCCCUCGGAGUGUACCUUAGUCCAGUAGUAUGAUUUCCUAAUACUAGGUGAGUGGUGGUAUAUUAUAUGAUUGCAUUGUUUGCACCUGCAUAUGAGCGAGUGUGUGCUAUAUGAUUACCUUGUUUGCGCCUACAUUUGAAUGAUCUUGUCCCGUGUUUUGACGAGUGAAUUAUUUUCUUUCCCUAAGCAAAUCUUGGGGACAAGAUUUAUUUUUAACGGGGGUAUUGUUUGUCACACCCCAAAAAUAAUAUUUUGAUGAAAUAAAAUAUCGUCUAGGAUAAAAUAUCUGAGAAAUAAAUUGCUUCACAACUCUUUUGAAAGUCUCUUUCCAAAAACUUUUAUUUUCAAGUGGCAUUUUAAAUACCAUUUAGUGCUUGAGCCCUUACUUGAGACAAUUUUUAUUGCUUAUUGAAUUAUAGAGGGGUAUUCUUUUAAUUUUGACACAGGUUUCUUUAAAUCUUAAUUUUUGGUUUUUCCAUUUGAUUUCAGAACCACUCCUUUUCCCUAAUUAUAAAGUUUUUCUCCAAGUAGAAGUUUUUGAAAGUCAUGUUGGGACUUGAGUGAUUGCAUCAAAACAUUUGUUUUCUUCUGACAAAUUCAUUGGAUAGCCUUUUAUAAAUAUUUCGACAAAGUUUCUCUCAUUCGAAAAUGACUUUUAAUUUUUUAAGGACCUAUUUUGCACUUCAACCUUUUGAUAACUUCUUCUUAAAAUUCUACAAAAAUUUGCAGGUGACAGGAGGUGUCCUUGAACUAAUUUUAUUUAAAAACUUAGCGAAGUGUUUUGAGAAAUUUGAGCACAUUAAGUUAUUUUCAGUUGUGGUCCAUUUGGCAUUUUGCACUCUAACCCCUAGAAAUAAUCUUUCAAAAAUUCUAUAUAAAUUUGGAGAUGUCAAGUGAUGCAUGGGUUUCACUUUUAUGCAAAAGCCUAACUUUGUGCUUUGAAAACAUUUAGCAAAACAACCACUUUUCUGUUCUGGUCCAGUUUGGUGAUUUGUACUGUAGCCCCUAUUUUAAUUGCUCCAAUGCCCAUGAUAUUUUUACUACUGGUAUUUGACCCUACCAAACCCUUAAGUUCCAAAGAUAAGAUUCUUGGGAAUAUCUUUAGCCCAUUUUUAAUGCCCCGAAGUUUCUGUCCAGGAAAGAUUUUCUCCCAAAGUUGUACUAACAAUAUUUUCCUUUUUUCAAACUAACUACACCACCAUGACUAACACUUAGGGAGAGUAUGAUCUGGAGAUUUUGGCUGGCAGUAGUCAUGUUGAAGCCUCUCGCAUUUCAUCAAGCACCUAUGACGCAUGGCCAAAUUUGGCAUGAGUUUUGAUCUGCACCAUGGAGUUGCCCCACUGCCCAAGCCGGCAUGUCUAACACUCUUGCCCUAACCCCUAACCUAACCCUGUGAAGUUGGAGCAGCGUUGGAGAUGUUUGGGCAUGCCAGACAUUCCGUAGAGUAGGUGUCGUGCAUGCUCUGGGCAUGGCCAAAGCGCAUGUUUUGCACGCACGUGUCCGAGGUGCCGCGUCCACCUGCUCGUGCGUGUGGACAGCCAAAGAGCCGCGUCAAGCCCCCCGAUAGUUUUUCCCAGCCCUGCUGCCGCCACUGCUGUUCCCUGCUUCUGCCUCUCGCAUGCCCUAACAUUGUCUCCGCCAGCAAAGUCGAUGUGGCUGACGCUGACCGUGACAUGCGGCACACCCCGAGUCCUGCCCGCCAGCGGACCCUCUCCCCUCUAGCAGGACCAGCCCCAGCGUGUUCCCUAAGCUCGCCACGUCGCCCUCGCUACAGUGGCGACGUACCACCAUGGCAGCCGUCGUUCUUAUUUUCAGGGCCGCGGGAACAGACCCUCCCCGCCUAUAAAACGCCCCUCCAAGCUCACCCAGCCACUCACACCCUAACCACCAACCUCCGUGCCGAAGCAAUUGGGCCCCCGUGCUCAAUUGCAACUCCAUCGGUCGCCACUGCCAAGAGCGCCUUCGGCGAAUUCCGGCCAAGCCAGAGCUCCUCUCUCUUUGCUAUCUCCACACUUAGCUUCAGCUCAACCCCGGAGCUCUCGUCCGCCAUGGGCGAAGGCUUGCUCGGUCCCGAGCUCUCUAGUGAGCCUAUCCCCGGCUAGAAGGAGCGGUUGUGCCUCCUGAACACUCUGGAGUGCCGAGCUCGAGAAAUGGAGCUUCCUAGGUCAGGCAUUCGUUGCUGGAGCCCCGCUUCUAGCUGUGUCAUUGUGCGCGAGAGAUGGAAGAGAAACCCGACAGGUGGGCUCCACCUGUCGGUGAGCGAGCUGGGCCGCCGGUUGCACAACCGAUGUGAAGUGCAUUUCUGCAGAGACGACGUAUUCAGGCCAAGUGCGUUUUUUGUUUCUGUAAGCAUAUUAUCCCCGAAGCAUUUCUUUUUCUAUGUUUUAUUUUAAAAUAGAAGUUUGACUGAUCUUUCACCACUUAUAAUUUUUAAACCACAACUCCAAAUGGAUUUUUUUCCUACCUCUCUAAAGUUUCCUUUAGUUUAUUUACAGAUUUAUUUCAAAAAUAUCCAAGCAACUUUUAUGUGUUUUUGUGAAUUUGUGUGUUAACUUAAAUAUUUUCAAAAUAGGAAUUUGCAUAGAGGAGACUUUUGGUUAUGUUGAUAAAGAACCCCACACAAAAUCAUAUAAUGGCAUGGGUGCAUGAUAUAAGGAUGUUAUUGUUGUUAUGUGAUGCAGAUGGUAAGUGGGUACUACCCCAUGCCUCGUAUGCCAUGCUGGUCCGGACAACCUCAAAGGGAGGUUUGUCAUGGAUAUUAUGAGACCAUAGACUGACAUCUCGCAGGACGAGAGUGGGAAAUGAGAGCAUACCGUGGUUUGAUGGUGGUAACACAGAGGUUUAUGAUUCUGAAAAAUUAUGCGAUACUAACCCUUGCAGGAAAAACUUAACCUCCUAAGUCGACCGUAGAUUAAGUCUUGUCAGUAUGUCAUCUUACCUUUCGUGCUGCCAUAGGUCUUUCUGAAAGGGAAUACAAUUUAGUAGGUCAUAAACCUAUUACCAGGUACACACCAAGUAGAG